rnacentral:rRNA from 1 species
UUUAUUGAGAGUUUGAUCCUGGCUCAGGACGAACGCUGGCGGCGUGCCUAACACAUGCAAGUCGAGCGAUGAAAUUUCCUUCGGG